rnacentral:lncRNA from 1 species
AGAUGGUAAAUUCCCUUAGCAGCAGGCAGCAGUGCUAAGUUGGCUUCUGCUUUGGCAGCCUGGAGAGCUUGGAAGAAAAGCCGAGUUAAACUGACCUGACAGAAUAGUCUUCCAAAGAAUAUCUUUUCAUAAUUUUAUCCAUGUUUUAAAAUUGAAUUUAAUAAUUUUAAUCGUUUUAAUAAUUUAACCGAUGGCUUAUCUCAUAAUGCGAUGCUGUCUUCACCCCUCAGCACCCCUUCUGUUUCAAAAUGAGUUCUGGAAGUCUGUGGAAGCCUAAUCUGUCAGCACUCACUAAUCCCCAGGAUCAGCUCUCACAAAGAAGAAACCUUGAGUGAUCUUCAGGGAGAUUAGGCAAUGCGAGGACCCAGACCCCAGAUACUCACCAUACAUGGUGGUGCGGAUAGCAGAGGCAGAGAUGAGGGCCUAUCAUCGUUUCUUGGGGAGCUGCACCAGCCUGGAAUACAGAGCAAAUAAAGCACUUCCAGUAAUCAGCACCUCUCCAAAGCUGGACACACGCCUGAUGCCUGCUGUGCUGCAGUCUGCAAACCAUCGAUAGAGUUCUGACAGCUGCCUGGUCCUUCCCUGCCAUCAACUAAGAGAUCCACAUGAAGUCUCCUCCUGGGCUGAUGGACAUAAAGAGAGUAAAUGUUCAGGGCUCAUGUUCACUGUGCUCUGCCAGGGCUGAGUUCUGGGGCCAGGUGCUGAGGUUCCUGUGGAGGGCUCAAAAGCCUUAAGGAACUUUGUGAGAGGGUGGAAGUGUUUCACUUUUGAUGUGUAUCAUGUCAUGAUUAUGUUAAUAUUUAGCAAUUGUACGCUUAAUGUUUGUGCAGUCUGCUUGUAUUCAACAAAAUUCUGUUAGUAUAAAAAUAAAAGGUACAGAGAGCACUUUUCAUUAUGUAAACUAAGGAAGUUUCAUGUUUCCAUCUCCCCACCUCUCUCCCUCUACCCUCUGUAUGUGUAACGUACACAGAUGCAUUCACCUGUGUGGGAAUGUGGAGAGAGUAAAAGUUGAUACCCAA